rnacentral:lncRNA from 1 species
AUGGAGGUGACAGCUGUGGCCACGCAAGGUCGUCAUGGCAGCACGGAUUGGGUCAGUGCCUACAUGCUCCUGUACAGUGACACCGGACGCGUCUGGAAGCAGUACAUGUUAGAGGACAAUGUUGGGGUGUUUGAAGAGAACUUGAUGCUGAGCCACCAACGCAUCUAUUGUCUUUGUCCUCAGGCUUGGCCUCUACACUUAGAACGCUUGUAAAUGACAGAAUUUUCACCGUCCCCUGUUGCUGCUUUGUAAUUAUAUUCAAACGAUGAGACUGCAGCUUUAUUAAAGAUAUAAUGGCAUUUUCAAAGUGUGUUUAAUGAAAAGAGAAGGUUACAGUCGAGUAAGAUGUAAUUAGCUUUUAAUGUGGUGGAAAUGUAGAAUAAAGUAUUAUUGCGAUGCAAUAAUGAUUAGACAUGAUAUACAAUAAGCAAUGGCUUAUAUUCACAGUCAUUCUGAGUCAUGCUGUGCUGUCAUGUGUAAAAGACUGAUUUAGUAAUCUUUAUAUAAAUGCUUCUGAAGUACCAGUCGAUUACUUUUAUUUAUAUUCUGUUUACAAGAAAGUGUCAUUCACCAGAUUUAGGGGAUUGAUCUUUGCCCUUUUACAGAAGGAUACAUCGAUUCAUCAUAUAGGCUAAAAGAAAUCCCCACAAUAUAAUAUAACAAAUAGAAAUAUAUUCCCAGCUGGUGAGUGUGUUGAUGUGUAAUAGUAUUUGCUGUAAGACAGAGGAGGAUAGAGAGGAAGGAAAAAGUAUGUUUUGUAAAAGCAUACAUUUAUUGUAUCUUUAAUAACCAGUCAAAAAUAACAGUCUGUUUUAUGCAUUAGUCAGGUGUUGAUUCUUGGUUAAAUGUUUGAGAUCAGAACAGCUCAUGUCACAUUACAUCUCGAUAUUGUGGCCUUGGUGACCUGAACACAAGCUAGCAUUUCAAAAGCAGAAAUAGCUGUUGACAUGUAUCUUGCUGGAGUUUCACAGACACAUUUCAUUUUUUGUCUUCAUCUUGUAUUGCCGUCAUCUCCUGGCAGGGAAACCAGGAUUCGCCUACGCUGACAGAAAAUUGCUGACUGCAUAAGCUUUGUGGGGGCCUCACCAUGGUCAUUUCUUUCAUCUUAUAGCCUGUGGGGCUUCGAGCUAUUGAGCUGUCUUCAUGUCGUCCUCUGUCAUUUUCUUUUCACAGACAGUCUGUGUGUGAGUGAAGUGUGCUAGUGUUUCUCGAAUGCGAAAAGGAUAGCCAGAUAAUUUUUUGGACUGAGUCUAACAGGGAGGAUCUGCUCUCUAUAAUGAUAGGAAUCAAACUGGAAAAUGUUAACAAUGUGACAGAUGUUAAAACUGACAGUUAUGUAGUCAUGACAUCCAGGUUACAUCUCUAUGGGGGAUCAUUUUGCUUUCAAGCAGUGCUGUAUUGACAGAUUUGUAUUUUCUUUUUUCCCAUUUUUUAUUGUCUCUUUCUUUCCUUUUCUCUUUUUUCACCUUUGUAAUUUUUCUUUUCUCUUUCUCCUUUGUCCUUUUUUAUUUGUUGUUCUCCGUUUCUUUCCUUUUUGACUUACAGAAGAGAUUUCAAGCUUGCAUUCUCACCAUGAAUGUAUAAAGCCUGCUUCAAACCACACACACAAUGUAUUUAUUUUUGUGGUCAUAUUAACAGGUUACAGUAUUCACACUGUGAGCAUGAGCGGAGGAAUGUGAAUACUGUAAUGUGUUGGAGCCUAGCUGAAGUAGGAGCAUAGCUGAAUUAGGUGUAAGUUGAGUGUUGGCACUAAGCCCACAUACAGUAGCUCUCUGAACUAUUGUGAAAACAAUAUGGUUUUCCUCAUUUUCUUAAAUUAAAUUUCAUGACAAUCAAAUGUGUCAUAAUCUUAAUGGAGACCUUCUAGAUAUUAUUAUAUUAUUUAUUUUUAAUCUAUGGCCAUUUUUGAACAAGUAAUAUAAUUAUGAAAAACAGUAAACAAGUUUCACCCAAAUUUAAUUUGUCUUUUAAUUAAUGAAAUUUAAACACAUUUUAUUUUUUGUUAAAUAAAGGGGAUUUGCUAUUAAAAUUAAAACAUGGAAGAAAUAUUGUGUGAUAUUUCUUUAAAAAAUAAAGUUUUAUUACAUUUUUCAACAGUAGUAGCAGUAUCACAUACAUUCUACUAAAUAAUAGUAAUAUUUCUAGCACAAUGCCUUUAUAUAAAAAUGAAUUUGUAAUGAAUGCAUAUUUGUCAUUUAUCUGAACUUAAGACUGGUGGUGAUGCUUAAGAUAUUUUUGUUCAUUGAGGGUUUCUGUAAAAAAAAAAAAAAGUAGUAAUAGAUCAUAAUAAUUAUUAUUAAAAGAGAAUACUACUACUAAUUCUACUACCAUACUAACAAUAUACAAUGCACUAUGGAUUGAUGAGCUGCUGGUUCAUGAAUAUUAAUCACGUUGUCUGCGUUCGGUCGAACUGAUUUGCUGAAAUCAAAACAGGGACUGUAAUAGAUGAGCGCCAGCCAAUGAAAUUGCCAUUUGCGCAUUAGCUCCGCCCACUACCUGUCUCUUAUACACAUC